rnacentral:rRNA from 1 species
UGGGGAAUAUUGGACAAUGGGCGCAAGCCUGAUCCAGCCAUGCCGCGUGAGUGAUGAAGGCCCUAGGUUUGUAAAGCUCUUUCACCGGUGAAGAUAAUGACGGUAACCGGAGAAGAAGCCCCGGCUAACUUCGUGCCAGCAGCCGCGGUAAUACGAAGGGGGCUAGCGUUGUUCGGAUUUACUGGGCGUAAAGCGCACGUAGGCGGACUAUUAAGUCAGGGGUGAAAUCCCGGGGCUCAACCCCGGAACUGCCUUUGAUACUGGUAGUCUUGAGUUCGAGAGAGGUGAGUGGAAUUCCGAGUGUAGAGGUGAAAUUCGUAGAUAUUCGGAGGAAAACCAGUGGCGAAGGCGGCUCACUGGCUCGUUACUGACACUGAGGUGCGAAAGCGUGGGGAGCAAACAGG